GAUCAUGGCUCAGGAUGAACGCUGGCGGCGUGCUUAACACAUGCAAGUCGAACGAAGCACUUUAUUUGAUUUCCUUCGGGACGUGAUUAUUUUUGUUGACUGAGUGGCGGACGGGGUGGAGUAACGCGUGGGUAACCGUGCCUUGUACAGGGGGAGUAACAGUUGGAAACGGCUGCUAAUACCGCAUAAGCGCACGGCAUCGCAUGAUGCAGUGUGAAAAACUACCGGUGGUAUAAGAUGGACCCG
rnacentral:rRNA from 1 species